AAAGAGCACCUAUUAUGGGAUACACGUUUUUAAACAUCCUUUUGUGUGUAAGUGUGCAUUAGUACAUGCUAACGAUAUUCAAAAAGUACAUACCUCAAAGAAAACGAUGACGCGAGUUAUCGUCUCUAACGUUCGAGGACUACAAAAAACACUCGGAUUGUAGGCAACAGUUUACUUCCUGGGAUUAGUGACGUAGAUAAGACCAACAUUAUCAUAGUUCAGCCCUCUCUGCUUUGCUUGGGUACGCCCUCAAAGACGAGGGUGGGGAGCGCCGAGUCAGAAGAGAGCUAAAAUGGCGGAGGUUGUGAGUCCCUGCCUUGACUCUGUUUGCAAACUCUUGUUUCAUUGUUUAAGCGAUUAAAUCUCUCGAGUAGACGCUGUCUCUUUAGAUGCGAGGGAAAAUAGCACUUUAUGGACUUCCACAGAGGACAUCAUGUUUAAUACGGUUCCGGAAAAAUCCAGUCAGAAGUUGUUCACGGAGUUUUCACAAUAACUGCUUCUCAUGAACCGAAGCUGGAUUUGCGCGACGUCUCCUCUUGAAAGUUGGAUUACUGUGCACUUCUGGAUCACAGGCUAUUCGCAGCUGGACACAUCCUUCUACACUGUAUGCAAACAUGCAACAUCAUUACACACAGUACAAGGAGUCAGACUGGCAUAUGAGGAGCAAAGGAACCCAGGCAGUAGCAUCGUUUCACAAUGUUUCCAUCACCAUCAUCAGUGGAUGCCUUUGCCGUCCGUAGCCUGAGAUUUCAGAUUUGCAGCA